UGCAGUUAAAAAGCUCGUAGUUGGAUUUCGGAGUGGGCCAGUUGGUCCGCCGCAAGGUGUGUUACUGACUGGUUUGCUCUUCUUCGCAAAGACUGCGUGUGCUCUUGAGUGAGUGUGCGUAGGAUUUACGACGUUUACUUUGAAAAAAUUAGAGUGUUCAAAGCAGGCUAUUGCUUGAAUACAUGAGCAUGGAAUAAUGGAAUAGGACUUUGGUCCCAUUUUGUUGGUUUCUAGGGCCGAAGUAAUGAUUAAGAGGGACAAUUGGGGGCAUCCGUAUUUCGUUGUCAGAGGUGAAAUUCUUGGAUUUACGAAAGACGAACAACUGCGAAAGCACUUGCCAAGAGUGUUUUCAUUAAUCAAGAACGAAAGUUAGAGGAUCGAAGACGAUCAGAUACCGUCCUAGUUCUAACCAUAAACGAUGUCAACUAGGGAUCAGUGGGCGUUACAUACGACCUCAUUGGCACCUUAAGGGAAACCAAAGUUUUUGGAUUCCGGGGGAAGUAUGGUUGCAAAGCUGAAACUUAAAGGAAUUGACGGAAGGGCACCACCAGGAGUGGAGCCUGCGGCUUAAUUUGACUCAACACGGGAAAACUCACCAGGUCCAGACAUAGUAAGGAUUGACAGGUUGAGAGCCCUUUC
rnacentral:rRNA from 1 species